CUGUGUGUCCACAUCCCAGCUCUCCUGUGGAAUGUGGCCAUUGCUGGGUGUAGCAAGAAUCUGACUUCUUGACAUGGGGUUCCAAAGGCCACCCUCAGUCCUCUAGGUCCUGUGUUGUUCGUUAAAUGUUUUUCCCCUGCUCUGGCAGAAAGAGUAUCCAGUUCAAGGAUUGUUCCUGCAAUCCCUUCUGAAGUUUCAUUCCCUGAAUUCUGACUGUUUGUCACAUGACUGUGCUGGUCAGUACUCAGCUAGAACUCAAGGAUGACCCUUUGUCGAUCUCUGGAGCUUUCAGUCACUAGAGCACUCUCCUCUCCACUGCUCUGCUCUGCCAAAGCCACUGCGUUCACCUUCCCAGAGGCCCUGUCUCCUCGAUGCAGAAUGCAUUUAGAGUUGUGUCAAUCAGAUAUGGAGGAGGAUAGACAUGCAGACAGCUGCCUUUGAGAGGAGAGGGGAUUGAUGACAGCUCCCAGUGGUGGGGACAUGCCACACCAGACAGGUCCGCACAAGGAGGCACCCUUUUAGGUCAGGAGGCAGAAGGGACAGAUGACCCAGAGCCUAUAUUGUGGAUUCCAUGGAAGGAUGGGAUGAAGUGGGCUGGGCACCUGACUGGAGAGAUCUAGGAUUUCCUGUUAUAACAUCUGAAGUCUCUGAGUGGUCUCCUGUCUGGUACCUAGUAGCCCUGGGUUGAUUUCAAGAGGAGGAAGGGGGUGAUGCUGGGAUGCUGUGUCGGAGUUUCCAGAGAGUUAAUACCUGGGAUUUGAGACUGUGAUGGGGUGGUUUGCAUAGGAAUGGUGUGUUGUUCACUGAAGAAUCUGUCCCUUACCUACAGUUUAUGGAUUUCUGGGAAUAGGAGCUUUGAGUCCAUAUCCUCCACUUGAUAACACUCCAGCCUGGGAGUACAGUAGAAAGGCCACCUGGAAAUGUUGGGUGCUUACUGAUGAAGCUCUCAUGAGGGCUGUAAGAGGGCCUAACCACUACAUGGCAGCCAAGGAGGGGCCUCCCAAGGUCUCACAAGUGUGGCUUGAAUUCUACUUCUCUGUAGCACCAAUUGUGACUCGGUGCCUUGUAGUUGGUAUUUUGAUAAAAUCUUGUAGCCAAGAAGUACCUAAACUUUAGCCAGUGUUAGUCAAAAUGAUUUCUGAAUUUAAUCUGUAAAUGUAGCCACAAAGUCUUCCUUGUGAAAUCUGAGGGGUGUCAUGUUUCUAGAUGUUUCCAGAGACAGAAAGUGUAAUCUCUUAAUGAAGACUUCUGAGUUGUAAAAGUGGCAGCCAAAGUGUUUCAGUUGUUUGCUUCCAAACCUCUCCAUUGGGAAAAUCUCAAGUGGAUUUUCAUUUCCAAUGGCAAUAACUUCACAUAGCUCCUCCACUUCUGAGAUGAAUAAGAAGGACUUCAUUUGCCCUCUUGACUAAAACAACUGAAAAGACAAACAGAAUGUGAAAGCCAAAGUUGUUAAGAAACUGGAUGCUGGACAGCGAAAAGCAGAGGUUCUGAGAAAAGAGACACCAGUGAAGUGAAUUUUACAAUUCUCUGCUUUUAUUUUUUGAUGUUCCCAGGCUGUCAUGACGGGGGAGGAAUACAGGAGGAGCUCUUCUCACUUGCCCGAAGGGUGUUGGUCAUGCUCUUGUGACCUAUGAUGCAUUGGCAUCAUGGGGCCUUGCUGGCCAGGGUUGGCUGCCCCUCCCAGGGUCAGCUAAACCUUGGAGACAUGUCCUCUGUAAACACACCUUGCCUUUGCAAGCCUGCCAGAGAGCUCAUGUACAUCUUUUAGACCCACAAUUCCUGACAUCACAUAGCACUUGGCCUCUAGAGGAAGGAAGCAUGAAUUUGCUGAAAUUAAUUUGAUAUUUGUGUUUCUUCUGUAUAUUCUAAGUGUUUAACUGUUUGUUUCUUUGUUUUUUAAUGAAGCUAAUGCUGCCUACCUUGGGAGCCAAGAAAUGAUACACGUGCGGAAGAGAGAUGAUGAAAUCAUAAAGGAACACUUACCUAAGCUGACAUUUUACUAUGGUAAGACAGAUGGCUGGUGUCCAGUAAAGUACUAUGAAGACAUGAAGAAGGAUUUUCCAGAAGGCGAUAUCCGACUCUGUGAGAAAGGAAUAUCCCAUGCCUUUGUCCUUGGUUUCAGCCAGGAGGUGGCUGCCAUCGUUGCUGACUGGAUGAAUCAUAAACUGCCCAAAAUAUAAAAACUGGCCCUGGGAAGACGCACCUAACAGCUGAUACGUGGGAGCUGUAGGUGUGUCCUGCUGACGGGUGAAUGUUUAAUCUUAACGCUUGAAAAGGAAACAUGAGACCCUGCUGGCUUACAGACUACCAGCUCCCUGUGCUAAGACUAAAGUGAACACAGUUGAUGACUCAUUCCACAUGUUCCCUGACUCAGGAUCUCCACAGUGAUCUCCACAAAGAUUCCUCUUUUUACAAGGAGCCCGACAGAACUGUACAGUGCAGUUUGCCCAACAGGAUCCUAACGAGCCCAAGACAAUCUACAUAUAGGUGAUUCCAAGUGAAUCCUUACUUUAGAAUAGAUUGUCCUGAAUGAAAUUAUGAAACACUGACUAGAAAAUGAAACCCCACCCAUGAGUGUGAAGUGUGCAGUCAGGUGUGUAAAAUGUGUAAGACUUCGAAGAGCACCCCUGCUCUUCCAGCUGCAGGGAGGAAUGAGCAGGGACGCUGGCAGUGAGCUUGGUUUCCCUGAGGGACGGGGGAAAUCAAGUGAGACGUUGUACGGGUCUUGGCUGAGGUCAUCAGCAUGUCUUCCUGCUCCUGCUGCAGUAAACCAAGAAUCAAGGUUGCCUGGCAUUCGUCAACUAACUAGACAGAGCUGCUGAAGGAUCCUGACUCUGACCUGCCACGGGAUGGCCAGAUGGCCAGGAGGCUCCACCUGAGCCCUAAAAUGCCAGGUCCCUGCAGGCUCCUCCUGAGCAAGAGGGAGGGAUGGACUGUCCACAUCAGGUGUGUAUGGCCGUGGAGUGGCUCAUUGCUGUGAUUCCUCCAGUGAAGCUCCAUGGACAGGAAGCUGUGAACUGAUGCCUUUCAUGAUGCUGUUCGCUCCCCUAUGAUUCUUCCCUUCUGAAAAUCUAGAACAUACUUUUUGGAAAGAUGUUUUAAAUUGUUGAGUAAAACAUUAGCAUAAAUUUAUUUCCAAUUUGCCCAGACUUUAUUGAUCGGAAAGAUAUUAUUUUGCGAAUGAACAGAAGUAAUCCAUUAAAUUUUGUGUUACUUCACCUCUGAAAGUGUAUUAUUGACUGAGAAAUGGCAGACCAGCUAGGCUGCCUUCCCUUAAUUGACUCAGUCCUAAGAUCCCAGAGUCCAGUAAGCCCCACUGUCUGUAGUGACAGCUGAUGCACAUUGGAAACAUUUCAUUUUCUUCUAGAGAAAAGCUCCCAUGGCUGUAUCAUUCCUCAGGGGCAGUGAGAUGGUCCUUCCUCUCACAAACCUAAGAUGCUGAUGGAAGAUUUGGUUGUGAUGUGCCGCCCACUCAGUGGUGAGUGAAGAAAGUUCUAGUCCUUUGUAUGACUUCUGCAUCUGAGCUCUAACUUCUCAGAAGGGAAAAGCCAAACUCCAGACAAGGAGGCCUCUUAGACCAUGGAGAAGACCGUUAGCCACACAGUAAGGGUUGGUGCUACACACAAGUCCUCACUGGCAUCUGCACACUGAGGCCUUCUGGAGAGCUGACAUGGGAAGCCAGGACUCAUGCUCUGAGUACCUUGCUUAGAGGACAGGUCCAAUCAGUGAAAAAUCAGUGCACAGAAACAAGUGUUGGUAAAUCAGACCUACAGGAACAAAACAGCAUUCAUUGAUUGCUUCCAGAAAUCACUCUGUGUCUUCCAAACUCUACUUAAAAGACCCUGGUGCCUCAUUCCUAUUCCUCAUCUAAACACCUAAUGAUAUUUAUAAUAAAUGUUUUACCUGCA